ensembl:lncRNA
CACAGCGUAACCUUUUGCAAAGGACAAAGGUUGUUUGUGAAUGGUCAGCUGGGACCUCACGUAAAACAUAACGGGGGAGGGGAUUUGUAGCGACACCAUAGAAGAGAAACUUCUAUACUGUGGAGAAGCAUUUGCAAACUUGUGGAAAAAGAGGAUUCUGUGAUAAUAACUUUGCUUAAGGGAUGGCUAUUAAGAGUCCAGUGAACAUUUAGUUGAGAAGGUGAAAGAAGAGGAACAAAAAAGGACAGACCAGAUUAGGAGAACGUAAUGAUUGCUGAGAGACUGGUCAAGUUUAGACUCCAACUGAAAGAAAUUGGCAGUGUUAUGUUCAGAUAAAGGAGGUAAAGACCUGACAUUAAUGUUUAAAGCAGGGAAGAGGGUUCUAAAAGGGUAGCAUGGAGCAAAGGGGGUAAGGAUGCAUUACCUGGAGUUGAGCCUGCUGUGGGUGUGUGGAGAUGAUAAUGACAGAACUGUGUGUGUGAGUGGAGGGAAUGGAGCGGCAGGUUAGUACUCAGAGGGACAUUAAGUACCAGCAAUACCACCAGAGGUCCGGCAGGCCUGCUGGCACUUAGUCAGCAACAUUAACCAGAACCUGACAGGGUAACAUGACGGUUUUGUUAACCAAAAAUAAGUGAUUUUUAAGUUAACAAGGAAGACAUUCUGAAUAAAUUGUGAAUCAUAACUUGACUGCCAUAACUAGAUUAGGGCUGUCAACAUAAAUGUGUUAAUCUAUGUGUUCAAUGUGGACUAGAUUAAUUCAACAAAAUAUAAUAUUUUAGUUUGUUUACUUACGGUCCCGGAAGUUGACCGCGGAAACUAAACGACCGCUCGCUGCAGUCAGUUACAUCAAGAUGGAGAGAGCUUUUUGCAUUGGAAGUAAAACAAAAGAGGUGUGAACAUGCAAAGGAAUUACUCCAUGUGUCAAACAGAAGGGGGGUGAGUGGCAAACGGACCACUUAAAGUACUGCUAUGUUACUCUGCUCAGGACCACCACUGUGUCCCUAAAUGACCGCGGUUUGAAAACGUUCUGGCUAAAUGUGGGGAGAUUGUUGGCACUUCAAACACAGCCGUCAAAUCAUGGAGAGUUGAGAGCAAAGUGCACAAGGACAGCUGUCACGGUGUGGUUCACUUCCUGUCUUAUUUUGUAGUUUUCUGCCACUUGUGUCCCCGUGUAACUGGUCCUGUCAUCCCCCUGUGAUUGUCGGAUUGUUUACACCUGUGUCCAAUUUAAAGUCUGCGUUUGAGUCCUGCCUUCCUACCCAACCCUGACAGAGGCGGUGGGUUCCAUCAGAUUUGAGGCUGCAACAACUGUUUUUUCAUGAAAAUGAUCCACAGCACCUGAAGGGGGGAAAAAAGUAUUUUCUGCAACAUCUUAAAGCAUUAACUACAUUACGGCUAAUGCUGCGUUUGAUGGCUACUUAUUGCAUUGAUAAAUCCAGAGUGUCUGUGUUGGCUGCUUUUAUUUAUAUAUUAAAAAAUUAUUAGCAUGAUGUACUGAGAGAUGACCAUUUUCAGGUCAUUUAAUUUGGAUCAACUUUGUAUGCUAGUAUUUAGCUAACAUCAAUGUUCUCACUUCACCUUCCUCCUGUAAGUUGUAUGGCUCAAGUCAUUACCAUAUA